GACCCUUUCUGGGUCUGCCUGAUUCAGCUGGAGAGGUUGUAAUAAGAAUUGAGCCCCGGUGUGUUGUGUAAAACUGAUUAAACGGCUGGUCAGUAAAUGUGACUGAUGAAAUUGUAUCUCCCACUGAAUCCCUGAACAGAUGCUGCCACCAGGGUAGUUGGAGCUUCAAAGCUCUCAUCCAACUCUUCCUCUCUCUUUCCAUUCCCGUGGCUGUUGUCUGUCUUUCUGAUUACCCUGCACCCCAUCAUCCACUCCAAUCCAUCCUCUACAUAGUGGCUAAAUAGAUCUUUAAAGGCUCAAACCUUCCUAGACAGUAACGCCUUCCUACCUUGGCCUGCCAUUUAGGGGUCUUUCUGAUGGAAUUCCAGCUUAACUU
rnacentral:lncRNA from 1 species